CCUACGGGUGGCAGCAGUGAGGAAUAUUGGUCAAUGGGCGCGAGCCUGAACCAGCCAAGUCGCGUGAGGGAUGACGGUCCUACGGAUUGUAAACCUCUUUUGCCGGGGAGCAAGCGUGCGUUCGUGAACGCGCGUCGAGAGUACCCGAAGAAAAAGCAUCGGCUAACUCCGUGCCAGCAGCCGCGGUAAUACGGAGGAUGCGAGCGUUAUCCGGAUUUAUUGGGUUUAAAGGGUGCGUAGGCGGAAGGUUAAGUCAGCGGUCAAAUGUCGGUGCUCAACACCGGCCUGCCGUUGAAACUGGUCUUCUUGAGUGAGCGAGAAGUAUGCGGAAUGCGUGGUGUAGCGGUGAAAUGCAUAGAUAUCACGCAGAACUCCGAUUGCGAAGGCAGCAUACCGGCGCUCAACUGACGCUGAGGCACGAAAGCGUGGGGAUCGAACAGGAUUAGAUACCCCAGUAGUC
rnacentral:rRNA from 1 species